UACGGGGGGAGCAAGCGUUGUUCGGAUUUACUGGGCGUAAAGGGCGCGUAGGCGGUCAGCACAGGUCAGUUGUGAAAUCUCCGGGCUUAACUCGGAAAGGUCAACUGAUACUGUGCGACUAGAGUGCAGAAGGGGCAACUGGAAUUCUCGGUGUAGCGGUGAAAUGCGUAGAUAUCGAGAGGAACACCUGCGGCGAAGGCGGGUUGCUGGGCUGACACUGACGCUGAUGCGCGAAAGCCAGGGGAGCGAACGGG
rnacentral:rRNA from 1 species